UACGUAGGGGCCGAGCGUUGUCCGGAUUCACUGGGCGUAAAGAGCGCGUAGGCGGCCGCUUAAGUCCGGCGUGAAAUCUCGGAGCUCAACUCCGAGCGGUCGUGGGAAACUGGGCGGCUAGAGUGCGGGAGAGGAGAGUGGAAUUCCUGGUGUAGCGGUGGAAUGCGCAGAUAUCAGGAAGAACACCCGUGGCGAAGGCGGCUCUCUGGAACGCAACUGACGCUGAGACGCGAAAGCGUGGGGAGCAAACAGG
rnacentral:rRNA from 1 species